UACGUAGGGUCCGAGCGUUGUCCGGAAUUAUUGGGCGUAAAGGGCUCGUAGGCGGUUUGUCGCGUCGGGAGUGAAAACACGGGGCUUAACCCCGUGCCUGCUUCCGAUACGGGCAGACUAGAGGUAUGCAGGGGAGAACGGAAUUCCUGGUGUAGCGGUGAAAUGCACAGAUAUCAGGAGGAACACCGGUGGCGAAGGCGGUUCUCUGGGCAUUACCUGACGCUGAGGAGCGAAAGUGUGGGGAGCGAACAGG
rnacentral:rRNA from 1 species